AUUUUUAUAAGUAUAGUUUAUUUGUAUUAUAAAAUGUUUAUUAAAGUAGUAAUAAAAAUUGAAACUUUUAGAUUUAAAGUUGUAAAAAUAAAGUUUAGUUUUUAAAAGCAAUUUUAGAUAAGUGUACCUUUUGUUUAAGGGGUAUUUAAGAUUAAAAUUGAUUUUAAAAUUUUUUCGAAUUCUGAUGAGCUAUUUUUAUUAACAUAUUAAUGUCAAAAUAUUAAAUUUAAUUUAAAAAUAGAAGUUAGAUGCUUUACGCAUCAGUUGAUAGCUAGUUAUUUAAUAAAUGUAUUUUAGUACUUAUUUUAUUUAUAAAGGUUUAGUUGUAAAGAGAUAAGUUUUUACAACUUUAAUAAGACGGUUUUACAAAUAUAUAGUAAUGUUGGAAUUGAAUUUUUAAUCUAUAAUUUUGUUAUUAAAUAAUUUAUAUAUAAAUAAAUUUAUUAAAAUUUGUAGUUAUUUUAAUAUUAAGUAAUUUUAAUAAACUUUUAUUUAUAAUUUAUGAUGAAUAUAUGAGUAUUAUUAUAAAUAUUUUAUUUUUCAAGUAGAACUAGAAAGUUUUGUGUAAGUUAAUUAUAAUUAAGGAACUCGACAAAAAUAUAUUCCAACUGUUUACCAAAAACAUUUCUCUUAGAUUAUUAUUUUGAGUUAUACCUGCCCGGUGAUUAUUUAACGGCUGCGGUACCCUGACUGUACUAAGGUAGCAUAAUCUAUUGCCUUUUAAUUGGUGGCUAGUAUGAAUGGUAAAAUGUGAAUAUUAUUGUCUCUUUUGUAUUUGUUAAAAGUUGAUUUAUAAGUGAAAAGUCUUAUAUAAGUUAAAAAGACGAUGAGACCCUAUUGAGUUUUAUAUUAUGGUUGGAAUUUUUUAUUUAAUAAAAAUAAUUUAUUUUUAUUUAAUUAUUUGGCUGGGGUGGCAAAGGAAUAUUUAAAUCUUCCUUAAUUUUUAUAGACUUAGAUAGGUUAUUUGUUGAUCCAUUAAUUUAAUGAUAAGUAGAUUUAAUUACCAUAGGGAUAACAGCAUAAUUUUUUUGGAUAGCUCUUAUUGAAAAAAAAGUUUGUGACCUCGAUGUUGGAUUAAGAUAGUUUAUGGGUGCAGGUGUUCAUAUUAAUAGUCUGUUCGACUAAUUAUAUCUUACAUGAUCUGAGUUCAGACCGGCGUGAGCCAGGUUAGUUUCUAUCUUUUAAACAUUAAUUUGAAUUCGUACGAAAGGAUUUUUUAAUUUAAUUAUUUUAGUUUUUAUAAUUUAUGUAAUUUAUUGAU
rnacentral:rRNA from 1 species